rnacentral:rRNA from 1 species
CAUUACCACACCUAAAAAACUUUCCACGUGAACCGUUUCAACCCAAUAGUUGGGGGUCUUAUUUGGCGGCGGCUGCUGGCUUAAUUGUUGGCGGCUGCUGCUGAGUGAGCCCUAUCAAAAAAAAGGCGAACGUUUGGGCUUCGGCCUGAUUUAGUAGUCUUUUUUUCUUUUAAACCCAUUCCUUAAUACUGAAUAUACUGUGGGGACGAAAGUCUCUGCUUUUAACUAGAUAGCAACUUUCAGCAGUGGAUGUCUAGGCUCGCACAUCGAUGAAGAACGCUGCGAACUGCGAUACGUAAUGCGAAUUGCAGGAUUCAGUGAGUCAUCGAAAUUUUGAACGCAUAUUGCACUUCCGGGUUAGUCCUGGAAGUAUGCCUGUAUCAGUGUCCGUACAUUAAACUUGACUUUCUUCCUUCCGUGUAGUCGGUGGAGGAGAUGUCAGAUGUGAAGUGUCUUGCGAUUGGUCUUCGGACCGGCUGCGAGUCCUUUUAAAUGUACUAAACUGAACUUCUCUUUGCUCGAAAAGUGGUGGCGUUGCUGGUUGUGAAGGCUGCUAUUGUGGCAAAUUGGCGACUGGUUUGUCUGCUGCGGCGUUAAUGGAAGAGUGUUCGAUUCGUGGUAUGGUUGGCUUCGGCUGAACAAUGCACUUAUUGGACGUUUUUCCUGCUGUGGCGUGAUGGACUGGUGAACCAUAGCUCGGUGGCUUGGCUUUUGAAUUGGCUUUGCUGUUGCGAAGUAGGGUGGCAGCUUCGGUUGUCGAGGGUCGAUCCAUUUGGGAACUUAAUGUGUACUUCGGUAUGCAUCUCAAUUGGACCUGAUAUCAGGCAAGAUUACCCGCUGAACUUAAGCAUAUCAAU